rnacentral:lncRNA from 1 species
AGAAGCAAAGGAAAUAAUUUUAGCACAGUUAUCUUGAACUACCAUGUGUAUACAUAUGAUAGAAAACUCUGAUAUAGUACAGGAUGGAGCCACUUUCCCCGGGCAAUAGAACAUCAAAAUCCCUGUCUUCUCUUGCCAUGCUAGUCAGCAUGGCUCAUCCUGGAACAUUCCUUACUCAUCCUUCAAGGUACAAGUCAAGAAUCCCUCUUUCAGAAAGUCUUACCUGGUCUCUCCACAUAAAUGUCUUUCCUUAAUCAUAUUGAGCUGUAUGUUACUGGACAGUGACUUGUCCUACAAACCUCGAUUUCUUUAUACACCUUACCAUCUACAAUGUCUAGAAAGAGAAAUUACUUUGAAUUGAGUUAUUUUAACACCUUUACUGAACUAUAAUUAGCAUGCAAUAAACUGCAUGUAUUUAAAGUAUACAGUUUGGUAAGUUUUGACAUAUACAUAUGCUACCUAUAAAAUCUUCAACACUAUCAAAAUAAUGAACACUAUCAAAAUAUCCACCACAGUUUAUCUAUUCAUUUGUUGAUGGACAUUUAGGUUGUUUCAAAUUGUUGGCUAUUAAAAAUAAAGGUGACAUGAACCAGGCAUGGUGGCACACACCUGUAAUCCCAGCGGCUCUGGAGUCUGAGGCAGGAAGAUCACGAGUUCAAAGCCAGCCUCAGCAGCAGUGAGGUGCUAAGCAACUCAGUGAGACCUUGUCUCUAAAUAAAAUACAAAAUAGAGCUGGGGAUGGUGGUUGAGUGCCACUGAGUUAAACCCUCAGUACCCUCCAAUAAAUAAAUAAACAAAUUAAUUAACUAAUUAAUUAAUUAAAGCUGACAUGAACAUUCAUGUACAAAUCUUUGUCUAGACAGGUACUUUUUUCUUCAGGGAUGAAUAUCUAGAAGUGGAAUGAUUGGAUCAUGUGGUAGAUAUUUCCUUAACUUUUUAAGAAACCAUCUAUUCUGGCUUUCCAUUAUGGUAACAAAAUACCUAAGACAAUCAACUUAUACAGAGGAAAGGUUUACUUUGGCUUAUACUUUUGGAGUUUCAGUCCAUGAUCAGGUAGGCCCAUUGCUUUUGGGACCCAUGGAAGGGCAGCACAUCAUGGCUGUAGCAUGUAGUGGAGCGAAACCAUUUACUUUAUGGCCAGCACAUGAAAAAGAGAGGAUGAGAAGGGUUGAGGUCCCAGCAUCCCCAACAGAGGCUUACUUUCCUCUAGGCCCCAUAUUCUAACAGUACCACGGACUGGGGAAAAAGCCUUCAUCACAGGGACCAUUGGGACAUUUCAUUAAUCAUAUUGAGCUGUAU